rnacentral:lncRNA from 1 species
UUUUUUUCCGAUUUGGUCCUUUAUUUUAAUUUUAAAUGACAAUUUAAUAUUUUAUAUUUUAAAAUUUCAACAAUGUUAUUCUUUUUUAUACAAAAAUUCAAAAAAAAAUUUCAAUCAAAACUCAUAAAAUUAAUUAUAUUCUUCAAUAUAAUACAAAUUUCAUCAAAUUUGUAACGCAAAUCUUCAAAUAAACUCAUAUUUUCAUACUUUAUUUGAUAUUGUUAGGAAUAAAGGACUAAAUCUGGAAAAAAGAAAAAGAUAAAGGACUAAAACGUUAUAUGAAAUUAAGUUAAGGGACCACAUAUGUAAUUUAG